GAUGAAGAAGCUGUUCCACCAGAGGUCACCACAUGUCUGACAGCGUCACCGUCCUCUUUCGGUGGUGUCUGUUUACGAGAGUGUUCUCGACAGCUCACGCGCGUCAGCGGUGAUCGAUUUACAUCGGCCCCAACGAAUGGAAUAAUUUUCG